rnacentral:tRNA from 2 species
GCCGACUUAGCUCAGUUGGUAGAGCAACGCACUCGUAACGCGUAGGUCGCCAGUUCGAUUCCGGCAGUCGGCACCA